rnacentral:lncRNA from 1 species
CUGCUAGAGCGUUCAGAGAAAGAAUCCAAGGAAAGUGGUGGCGGGGCUGGGAUACAGGAGAGAUGGGGCAGGCUGCUGUCUCAUCAGCUCUGCUCCAGUUUGAGGAGUGAAAUGCUGUAAUUGUAUAUUUGGAUGCUUCCACAGGCACAUGAGAUUAAAUUCCUUGGCAGACCACUGUUCCGAUCAACAGGGACAUGUCCCCGAGGUACUCCUGCCUGUGGUCCCUGGCUGCCAAUUGGUCAUUCCCGUAUCCUGGACUGCCUUCCUCCUCCCUGCUGCCCACAGCCUAUCAGCUCACCCACGCUGGGCCCUAUAGGCAUGGGGAGGCAGGUUUUCUGAAGAUCGUGGAAACACCUUUGGCCAAGAGACCGGGCUCAGGCAAGAUUUGGAGUCCAGGAGAGAGCCAGCAGCCAGGGUGGAAAAGUCAGUGAAUAAUACUUGGGAGAUCGACCCAUCCGGGCUGCUGGGAAUACCUGGGGAAAAGAUAAAUCUGACUCCAGAACCUAUCACCUGGAUGGACCUGCCUUCGGUGCACACCAGCCCCCUACUGCCCCAAAAGUCUCUCCCUUGUGCGU